AACCAAAGGGGGCGAGCGUAAGCAGCUCUCACCGAAGGAGGAGCCUGCGUCCGAUUAGCUAGUUGGUGGGGUAAUGGCCUACCAAGGCGACGAUCGGUAGCCGGCCUGAGAGGGCGAUCGGCCACACUGGAACUGAGACACGGUCCAGACUCCUACGGGAGGCAGCAGUGGGGAAUAUUGCGCAAUGGGCGAAAGCCUGACGCAGCGACGCCGCGUGGGUGAUGAAGGCCUUCGGGUCGUAAAGCCCUGUCUGGUGGAACGAAACGCCUGGCGGCCAAUACCCGCUGGGUUUGACGGUACCACCGAAGGAAGCCCCGGCUAACUACGUGCCAGCAGCCGCGGUAAGACGUAGGGGGCGAGCGUUGUUCGGAUUUACUGGGCGUAAAGCGCGCGUAGGCGGCCAGAUAAGUCGGGUGUGAAAGCCCUCGGCUCAACCGAGGUUCCGCAUCCGAUACUGCUUGGCUGGAGUCUAGGAGAGGAGAGCGGAAUUCCCAGUGUAGCGGUGAAAUGCGUAGAUAUUGGGAGGAACACCCGUGGCGAAGGCGGCUCUCCGGACUAGUACUGACGCUGAGGCGCGAAAGCUAGGGGAGCGAACGGGAUUAGAUACCCCGGUAGCCCUAGCCGUAAACGAUGGGCACUAGGUGUGGGAGGUAUUGACCCCUUCCGCGCCGAAGCUAACGCAUUAAGUGCCCCGCCUGGGGAGUACGGCCGCAAGGCUAAAACUCAAAGGAAUUGACGGGGGCCCGCACAAGCGGUGGAGCAUGUGGUUCAAUUCGACGCAACGCGAAGAACCUUACCAGGGCUUGACAUCCCACGAACCUGCCUGAAAGGGCGGGGUGCCCGCAAGGGAGCGCGGAGA
rnacentral:rRNA from 1 species